rnacentral:rRNA from 1 species
AACGAACGCUGGCGGCAUGCCUAACACAUGCAAGUCGAACGAGAUCUUCGGAUCUAGUGGCGCACGGGUGCGUAACACGUGGGAAUCUGCCCUUGGGUUCGGAAUAACUCUCCGAAAGGAGUGCUAAUACCGGAUGAUGUCGAAAGACCAAAGAUUUAUCGCCCAGGGAUGAGCCCGCGUAGGAUUAGCUAGUUGGUGAGGUAAAGGCUCACCAAGGCGACGAUCCUUAGCUGGUCUGAGAGGAUGAUCAGCCACACUGGGACUGAGACACGGCCCAGACUCCUACGGGAGGCAGCAGUGGGGAAUAUUGGACAAUGGGCGAAAGCCUGAUCCAGCAAUGCCGCGUGAGUGAUGAAGGCCUUAGGGUUGUAAAGCUCUUUUACCCGGGAUGAUAAUGACAGUACCGGGAGAAUAAGCCCCGGCUAACUCCGUGCCAGCCGCCGCCGUAAGAC